rnacentral:rRNA from 1 species
CAGCCGCCGCGGUAAUACAGAGGGUGCGAGCGUUAAUCGGAUUUACUGGGCGUAAAGCGUGCGUAGGCGGCUUUUUAAGUCGGAUGUGAAAUCCCUGAGCUUAACUUAGGAAUUGCAUUCGAUACUGGGAAGCUAGAGUAUGGGAGAGGAUGGUAGAAUUCCAGGUGUAGCGGUGAAAUGCGUAGAUAUCGGAAGGAACACCAGUGGCGAAGGCGGCUACCUGGAUUGACACUGACACUGAGGCGCGAGAGCGUGGGGAGCAAACAGGAUUAGAUACCCCCGUAGUCCCUGUCUCUUAUAC